AUUUUAUGUAACGUUGAAAAUCGCCAUGAUGGAGGACAUUCAAAUGCGUGAUCGAAAGAUCGAAUAAUGUUCGGGUCGUGAUAAGUUGGUAAAACGGGGGCAUUAAUAUUGUAUAAAUAAAAAUCAUUCUUAUGAUUAUGAUUGGUCAUAAAUGUGUUGCAGAUGCUACUGACUUAUAAGUAGUUGUUUUGACAAGAAACUGCAUUAUCAGCAUUACAUGCAGCCUUAAACAGUUACAAAAAAUUAAAGAAAAUGGGUACAUUUACCCCCUGGAAAUAUUCGGCAUGUUCUUCCAUCAAAAAAGCUUCUUUUUUGAAAAACAAAGAAUAGAAACUUGAGCGCUACGAAAGAUACAUGUGUAACUAGAAAACUUUUUUGUCUGUGUUUGGAAAUUGGUAUAAUGUUGUUUUAUUUAAUAUAAAAAUGUACAAAAUGUUAUUUGGUUGUGUUCUGUUGAUAUAAGUACAAAUAAUGAAAUGAGAAGAAAUGAGAAACUUUGAUCGCGUUCACAAGCUAAAAUGGCAUUUUUACGAAGCGGCAAUAUUUUAAUAUGGAAGUUUAUUUUCUGGAGAUCUCUUUUAAAAGAACUAUCUAUGAAGUGCGCUAACCAAAUAUAAAAACUUUGAUCGCUUGGUAGAUCACCUGCACAUUUUUGAGUUCUUUCUUUUUCACAGACGGGAUUCUGUGAAAACUUACUUCUUUAUACUUCUCUGAUCGAUUGGUACAUCGAAACGCAAAGCAACUAACCAUUUUUUAAAGAUUUAAACGUAAAUUACAUACAAAAAGCGAUUUAAUGUAAGCUAUAGGUCUUAACAUGAACGUUCUCUGCGCUCGCUUAAACUUUCUGCACGAUGUGAUGUCAUUAUUUUUAAUCGGGCCCAGUCCUAAAUGAAAUCGCGCCUCUGUGUUUUUUUUAUGAGAGAAAAAUUGAAUAUGCGAAGGCUUGUACAACAAUUUUAAAUAAGAAAAACAAGUAAAGGAAGUUUUUUUUUGAUUUCUUAAGCUUUUCUGAGUACGUAUAUAACAAAAAAAAAAGAAGCCCGAUGGCUUGAAGAUUUCCGCCAUCAGCAUAGAUAAUAAGUAUAUAGUGCGAGACUCCUCAGAGAACAAAAACGCCAUGCCUGUUAUCUGCAAUGCAACCAAAGUUUAAAACAAAAAGAAAAUCAUAAAGUAAACCCAACGUAAAUAUCUGUCGUUCUGAGGACGAAAUUGAUUUGAAGUAGCCCUUCUAGAAGAUUUCGUAAACAUUAUGUUAGAGAAAGUUUAAGUAGGCUGUUUAGUCACGUGAUCAAAAGCCGUAGAAUUUUUUUUGCCGUAGCGAACUCGCAUACCGUAGACAGAUUUUCCCGAGAUUUUAUACGUAUGUGCCUAUCCAAAGCUAUUUUCCGACUAUGUUUUUCCUUAUUAGGCAUUUUUCGAUAGGCACCUCUUUGCACAGAAUAGGCCGAGGUUUGUUUUGAUUGAUGAUAGAAGUUUGUAGCUGUUAACGUUGAAGAGUUACAGGAUUUUGAAUUUUAAGAAUUUGACUUCAAGAUAUCUUGGCCAAACAUCUGAAUGCAGUGGUUGUACAGUUAAACGUGUUUAUAUACUUUGUAAAAAAAAUGGUAUUUCUGGCAUGACUAUAAAAUGCUUAUAUUAUGUCAAUGACUUUAUAUUAAAGUUUUUAUUUGGCUUAAUUUUAUGAUUUUGAUAUUUGUUUCUUUCUGGAUUUUUGCCCAUCUCUCUACAGUAUUUAACAGCCUGGUCUGCAAAACAUCAAUAAUUUUUUAUAGUUUAAUUUACUGUUUUUAUCACAAUUCUGUUAAUUAACCUAUACAAACUUCGCAGAUGGCUUAUAUACCUGGUUUCCUUUUUAGUUCUUACCCCCGUCUUUUUUAAAUUUAACAGUCUGGUCUGUAAAUUACACAUAUUUAUCACAUGAUAUUUUUUGUAGUUUUAAUUACUGUUUUACCAUGGUUCUGUUUUUUUCAAUUUAAUGCAACUUCGCCAACAAUGGCUUAUUUAAAACUGGUUUCUUUUUAGUUUUACCCCCGUCUUUCUCUAUUUAACUGUCUGGUCUGUAAAAUACACACCUUAUCACGUGAUAUUUUUUGUAGUUUUAAUUACUGUUUUAUCACAGCAAUUUAAUGCAACUUCGCCAAUGCCUUAUUUAUAACUGGUUUCUGUUUAGUUUUACCCCCGUCUUUCUCUAUUUAACUGUCUGGUCUGUAAAAUACACAUAUUAUCACAUGAUAUUUUUUGUAAUUUGAAUUAUAUACUGUUUUAUCACAGUUCUUUUUUUUAUUAAUUUAAUGCAACUUCGCCAAUGGCUUAUUUAUUACUGGUUUCUUUUUAGUUUUACCCCCGUCUUUCUCUGUUAACAGUCUGGCCUGUAAAAUACACAUCAUAUCACGUGAUAAUUUUAUAGGUUUUCUUCUUUUAAGUUCUAGUGACGUUUAUAGUUACUUAUUUCUAGUUACGUGAUAGGAUUACUUUUCAUUUUCAUGUUAGUUUUUACCGUUAUUUUACCAAUGUUAUGUAUAUUUUACCAUAUAUGGAAAAAGUAAAAAUGGUGGCAUAAUGACGUCAGAUAUGAAAAAAAAAAUUGCAAAUGUCUUUCUUAGCAUAAAUUUUACCAACCCUAAAAUUUUCAUUCUAUAAUGUUUAGUUAUACCAAAGUUAUUGUACACGUAGCAAAGGUCUCAAAAUGAGUUUAAAAACAGUCGUUUUGGUGCCAAAAAUGUUCUACUUGGAAUGCACUUAUUUUUUCUAAUUUUUGCUACCAAUUACGCAUACUAAAAUAG